rnacentral:rRNA from 1 species
UACAUGUGGGGCAAGCGUUGUUCGGAAUUACUGGGCGUAAAGGGCGCGUAGGCGGCCACCGCAAGUCGACUGUGAAAUCUCCGGGCUUAACCCGGAAAGGUCAGCCGAUACUGCGGGGCUAGAGUGCAGAAGGGGCAACUGGAAUUCUCGGUGUAGCGGUGAAAUGCGUAGAUAUCGAGAGGAACACCUGCGGCGAAGGCGGGUUGCUGGGCUGACACUGACGCUGAUGUGCGAAAGCGUGGGGAGCAAACAGG